rnacentral:rRNA from 1 species
GACGAACGCUGGCGGCGUGCUUAACACAUGCAAGUCGAACGGAAAGGCCCUGCUUUUGUGGGGUGCUCGAGUGGCGAACGGGUGAGUAACACGUGAGUAACCUGCCCUUGACUUUGGGAUAACUUCAGGAAACUGGGGCUAAUACCGGAUAGGAGCUCCUGCUGCAUGGUGGGGGUUGGAAAGUUUCGGCGGUUGGGGAUGGACUCGCGGCUUAUCAGCUUGUUGGUGGGGUGGUGGCUUACCAAGGCUUUGACGGGUAGCCGGCCUGAGAGGGUGACCGGCCACAUUGGGACUGAGAUACGGCCCAGACUCGUACGGGAGGCAGCAGUGGGGAAUAUUGCACAAUGGGCGGAAGCCUGAUGCAGCAACGCCGCGUGCGGGAUGACGGCCUUCGGGUUGUAAACCGCUUUCGCCUGUGACGAAGCGUGAGUGACGGUAAUGGGUAAAGAAGCACCGGCUAACUACGUG